AACUCCAAUUCAAAAUAAUUUCAACAAAAAUAUGAAAAAACAAAAGUUUAAAUGGCACCUUUUCAAAUAGCUAUACUUAACUAACAGUUCUGCAGAAGUUGUAGUUCGUCGAUGUCGGAUCAUUGACGCAAAUCAUUAAUUUCAAAAACUCAAAUUAUUAGAAAGAUGCAACUAAUUUACGUAAAAUAUAAAGACACAAAACCACGGAUUUCGACUGUUACUCGACCCAACUAACCUUACAUCACCUCGAACAUGACUCAGCAUAAUUCGAUCUUCUGUCAUUUCGAAUCAACCUGCACCCUUUCACCACAUGGCAGAUGCUGGCCCUUUAAGCCAACAGUCGAAACCACCAUUAUUAUUUAAAUUUAAAAAAAUAUAUCAUGAGCACUUACUUUCUACACUUAGAUUAAUUAAUUAUAAAAUCACAUAUUAUUUCCCACA
rnacentral:lncRNA from 1 species